rnacentral:rRNA from 1 species
UACGGAGGGUGCAAACGUUGCUCGGAAUCAUUGGGCGUAAAGCGCACGUAGGCGGUCCAGCAAGUCGGGUGUGAAAGCCCUCGGCUUAACCGAGGAAGUGCAUUCGAAACUACUGGACUUGAAUACUGAAGAGGAUCGCGGAAUUCCCGGUGUAGAGGUGAAAUUCGUAGAUAUCGGGAGGAACACCAGUGGCGAAGGCGGCGCACUGGACCACAACUGACGCUGAGGCGCGAAAGCUAGGGGAGCAAACAGG